rnacentral:lncRNA from 10 species
GGAAAAACUACAUGGCUUACCAAAAGAGGUCUCUCUGUUCACUGUCCAUUAUCUGUUGACUGAACUAGUUCAAAUGAAUAACAACCAUACAAACACAUAUAUACACAAAUAUACAUAUGCUUCAAUGAAAAGCAGGCAUGCAGCUGACAGCUCGGCAACCCUGAGCACAGAAUUUUGAAGAGAGAAUACACUAAAAGGGAAGAACAUAACUACAUGACAUCAUAAGAAGUCCUGAAUUAGAAGCGUAUAUUUGAAAGGUCAUGCAUCCUGAGCUGCCAACAGCUUAACAACCAGAGGCAGAGGCCAGCUUUGCCAGCUCACUGCUUCUACUCAUCUUUCAUGAUAGUAGCCAGGCUGAAUAUAGUUCCAGGAUGAUAAUGAAUUGGCUGGGCAUACUGUUUAUAUUAGUAUGUAUGUUCCUGUACUAAACCAAGCAUCAUGAGGCCAGCACUAUUUUGCCAUUUUUCAGAAAAAAAAUAUGAACCCUUCAAAACAUAGUUUGGAAUCAUUUUGUCCAUAAGCAAGAUAUAACCUCCUGAUAUUUUGAUUGUAAUUACACUGAAUCUGUGGAACAAUUUGGAAAGAACCAACAUCUUGAGAAUUGAAGAAAAUUCUUAUCAUUUUUUCACUACUAAAAAGAAAAAAAAUCUGAUUCCCCAAACAGCUUUUUCAUCCAAGCUGUUUAAAUUUCAACCCAAUUCUUACCUCUGGGUGAGAAAUGUCUCAAGCAAUAUUCCCUCCCAGAAUAUGAAAUUAUAAACAUCAUCUAAGAGGAUGAAGAAAUGAAAUAUGAAGAAAAAAUAUGACAAUGACAAAUAUAAUGCCAAUGACACUGAAGCUGAGAGCUGAAUAGCAAGAAGCAGCAAGGCAUGGAAGAGCCCAUGUAAGAAGGAGCCCAGAAUCUGACGUCACCUUUUCUCAAGUUAUUCAAUUCAAGUACCUUCCAAUUGCAUAUAUCUAUUACCCAUAGCCCUCUACUGCCUGUGAGACUGAAAAGGGACAAAAAGACAACACAUUGGAGGCCGAGGAGGGCAGAUCACCUGAGGUCAGGAGUUCGAGAGCAGCCUUACCAACAUGGUGAAGCCCCAUCUCUAAUAAAAAUACACAAAUUAGCCAGGCAUGGUGGCACAUGCCUGUAAUCCCAGCUACUUGGGAGGCUGAGGCAGGAGAAUCUCUUCAACCUGGGAGGCGGAAGUUGCAGUGAGCCGAGACCGCAACAAUGCACUCCAGCCUGGACAACAAGACUGAAACUCCACCUCAAAAAAAAAAAAAAAAAAAUACAACACAAUGUUAAAAGUGGCCCCAUCCUUCCCUUUACUGUUCAGGAUUUAUCACAGGGGCUAAAAUAGGUACAGAAUAUGAUAGUAAAGAAAUCAAAUCCCUUUGGCAUGAUUACAGAGUUGAAUCAACCAAGAUAAAGAAAGAAUAUGAUGAAAAGAAGUUGAGAAUUUUACCUCUAAAUUCAUUAUCAUACUAUAAACCAGAGAUUUGACCUAGAGAUGAUGCACUUUUUUCCUGUCCUUAAAAUGCUUUUUCUUUGAUUAUCAUUUUCAGAAAUGCUGUAUAAGAUUUCCACACCCAUGGCACUACAAUAGACUAUGUAGAAGUUGGACAAGAUAUACAGCUUCUAGUAUUCUAUAUGCUAAGACUGCAGUGAACUUCUCCAUUGAAUUCCAUUAUUUAUACAUUACACAUGUAAUUCUUGUAAGCA